AUGGAACUUUACGGUAUAUCCACCUGAAAUUCAGCAUUAAAGAAACCGAUUGUCUAAAAAAGAAAGGACAAGAUGUUAAGAUGUGGCCAUGCCAGUUCAAAAACAGCGGAAGAAGCAGAACAUGCUUUGCAUGUUUUAAGAUCAAUGAUCAUCGUGAUUCCACAAAGAUUGUUGAGUGCCGCCAG